UGUUCAGAAUUGUUUUGUAACAUUUUUAAUCAGUUUCUUCUUGUCUUCCAUUUCUUUUCUACAGAGAGCAGAGGACUGGAGACAGUGUGAAGUUUGAACACUCAUUUUAAAUUCAGAUACAGUAUACUUAUGAUAUGGUCAUAUUUCAUCUGAUGACAUAUUGCUCAUCUGUUCAUCUGGUUUUUCAUACUUUGAACAUUGAUCUCCAUCGUCUGAUUGCUCUUUCUUUGUUGUUUUUUUCUUUUUCUUUUUCAGAAAAAUGAGAGGAGAAAAAUGAGAGGAGAAAAAUGAGAGGAG